GCUGAGGAGACAGUGCCGCCUGAAAGACCGUUUGAUAUUCUGGGAAGACAUUUCCCCUCAGAACCCUCCUCAAAAGAGGGGUAGCAACUAUUUCGAGUCAAAGCUUAAAGUAACACGUAAACCACUUCCAGGACACAGGUAUGGAGUCAGAAGUUCGAGGAAUGCCGUUGGAAUAUCCUCCGAAACCUGAGCGCCUCAACGCCUACGAGCGCGAGGUAGUGGUGAACAUGCUGAACUCGCUGUCCCGGAACCGGACUCUGCCACAGAUUGUACCCCGCUGCGGGUGUGUGGACCCUCUGCCGGGACGACUGCCGUACCGAGGAUACGAAAGCCCUUGCUCUGGACGCCACUACUGUCUGCGCGGGAUGGACUACUGCACCACUGGGGAGCCUAGCACAGAACGCCGCCUGCGGCCUUUGUGCUCGCAGCAGCCGACUGAGUAUGUUGCCCUUAGACCACCGGCCAGGAAUGCAGUGUGUUGUUACAACUCCCCCGCCAUCAUACUACCCAUUUCCCAACCUUAGAUGGGACACAAGUCACUUCAAGAAGACCGGUGGUCCCCAGAGAAACAACUAUGUUGUCCAUCCUGAAUUUGUGUCUGAGACUUUUCCUGUCUACCCUUCCUAGUAAAACUUUGACCAGGCCAAGGGAGGAAGUGGCUCAAUAAACUCUUCACCACAAAG
rnacentral:lncRNA from 1 species